rnacentral:lncRNA from 1 species
CUUAUUACAAAAUAUUUAUACCAAAUGGUGAAAACUUUAUAUUAAAAUUAUAAGAAAACUUGGAACAAUUUGCACUGAAAAACAAAUAAUGCAGUGAAGUUUUUACUCAAGUGUCUAUAAUAGCAUAUAAACGUAACAAAAAUAUAAAAGAUUAACUUGCGAAAUCAGGGUAACAGUUGGAAGACUUUUUAAAAGGGACCCAUGCUAAAACGGUUUUAAGUCCCGAUACACUGGUAGUAAUGAUAUGAAUUAUAGGCAACAAACUUGUGAAUAUGAGCGAUGUUAAGUCAUGAAAUUUAUUACGAAUGUUAAUUGGUUGAAGGAAUCGCA